rnacentral:rRNA from 1 species
ACCGAAUAGAUACCCUGGUAGUCCACGCCCUAAACGAUGUCAACUAGCUGUUGGGGUUUAUUAACCUUGGUAGCGCAGCCAAACGCGUGAAGUUGACCGCCUGGGGAGUACGGUCGCAAGAUUAAAACUCAAAGGAAUUGACGGGGACCCGCACAAGCGGUGGAUGAUGUGGAUUAAUUCGAUGCAACGCGAAAAACCUUACCUACCCUUGACAUGUCCGGGAUCCUGCAGAGAUGCGGGAGUGCUCGCAAGAGAACUGGAACACAGGUGCUGCAUGGCUGUCGUCAGCUCGUGUCGUGAGAUGUUGGGUUAAGUCCCGCAACGAGCGCAACCCUUGCCACUAGUUGCUACAUUGAGUUGGGCACUCUAGUGGGACUGCCGGUGACAAACCGGAGGAAGUGGGGAUGACGUCAAGUCCUCAUGGCCCUUAUGGG